rnacentral:misc_RNA from 1 species
GAUGAAGAACGGAGCGAAAUGCGAUAAGUAAUGUGAAUUGCAGAAUUCAGUGAAUCAUCGAAUCUUUGAACGCACAUUGCGCCCGCCAGUAUUCUGGCGGGCAUGCCUGUUCGAGCGUCAUUACAACCCUCAGGCCCCCGGGCCUGGCGUUGGGGAUCGGCGGAGCCCCCCGUGGGCACACGCCGUCCCCCAAAUACAGUGGCGGUCCCGCCGCAGCUUCCAUCGCGUAGUAGCUAACACCUCGCGACUGGAGAGCGGCGCGGCCACGCCGUAAAACACCCAACUCUUCUGAAGUUGACCUCGAAUCAGGUAGGAAUACCCGCUGAACUUAAGCAUAUCAAUAAGCGGAGGA